rnacentral:rRNA from 1 species
GAUGAACGCUGGCGGCGUGCCUAAUACAUGCAAGUCGAGCGAACAGAUGAGGAGCUUGCUCCUCUGACGUUAGCGGCGGACGGGUGAGUAACACGUGGAUAACCUACCUAUAAGACUGGGAUAACUUCGGGAAACCGGAGCUAAUACCGGAUAAUAUAUUGAACCGCAUGGUUCACUAGUGAAAGACGGUUUUGCUGUCACUUAUAGAUGGAUCCGCGCCGCAUUAGCUAGUUGGUAAGGUAACGGCUUACCAAGGCAACGAUGCGUAGCCGACCUGAGAGGGUGAUCGGCCACACUGGAACUGAGACACGGCCCAGACUCCUACGGGAGGCAGCAGUAGGGAAUCUUCCGCAAUGGGCGAAAGCCUGACGGAGCAACGCCGCGUGAGUGAUGAAGGUCUUCGGAUCGUAAAGCUCUGUUAUUAGGGAAGAACAAAUGUGUAAGUAACUAUGCACGUCUUGACGGUACCGAAUCAGAAAGCCACGGCUAACUACGUG